rnacentral:siRNA from 1 species
UGGAGCUCAAGGAGAGACCAUGGA